GGGGAUUUAGCUCAGUGGCAUAAGCACCUGCCUUGCAAGCAGGGAGUUCGAUCCCCG
rnacentral:tRNA from 1 species